AUGUUCCCUAUGGUACCUGGGUUCAUGAGUUAUGGUCAACAAACAAUGCGUGCUACAAGGUACAUAGGUCAAAGUAUCAUAACUACCUUAUCCCACACAAAUCGUUUACCUAUAAUGAUUCACUACCCUUAUGAAAAAUCAAUUACACCAGAGCGUUUUCGAGGGUGAAUCCACUUUAACUUUGAUAAAUGUAUUGCUUGUGAAGUAUGUGUUCGCGUAUGUCCGAUAGAUUUACCCGUUGUGGAUUGGAGAUUUGAAAAGGAUAUUAAAAGAAAACAAUUUCUUAAUUAUAGUAUUGAUUUCGGAGUUUGUAUAUUUUGUGGCAAUUGUGUUGAGUAUUGUCCAACAAGCUGUUUAUCAAUGACUGAAGAAUAUGAAAUUUCUACCUAUGAUAGUCAUGAAUUGAAUUACAACCAAAUUUCUUUAAGUCAGCUACCAAUCUCAUUAAUGGGAGAUUACACAAUUCAAACAAUUAGGAAUUCGUCUGAAAGUAAAAUAAACAAAGAAAAAUCUUUGAAUUCAAGAACGAUUACUGAUUGCUAA
rnacentral:rRNA from 1 species